rnacentral:rRNA from 1 species
CCUACGGGUGGCAGCAGUGGGGAAUAUUGGGCAAUGGGCGCAACCCUGACCCAGCAACGCCGCGUGAAGGAAGAAGUAUUUCGGGUUGUAAACUUCUUUUAGCAGGGACGAAAAUAAUGACGGUACAUGAUGAAGAAGCCGCGGCUAACUACGUGACAGCAGCCGCGGUAAUACGUAGGGGGCAAGCGUUAUGCGGUAUUACUGGGUGUAAAGGGAGUGUAGGCGGGAAAGCAAGUCAGUUGUGAAAACCAUGGGCUCAACCUGUGGCCUGCAUUUGAAACUGUGUUGCUGGAGUGCUGGAGAGGCAGACGGAAUUCCUAGUGUAGCGGUGAAAUGCGUAGAUAUUAGGAGGAACACCAGUGGCGAAGGCGGUUUGCUGGACUGCAACUGACGUUGAGGCGCGAAAGCGUGGGGAGCAAACAGGAUUAGAUACCCCAGUAGUC